rnacentral:lncRNA from 1 species
CGGGGGCGGGGGCGGCGCGCGGCCGGCUUCCAAGCUCCGCGGGCGCACCCGGGAGUGCGUGCGCGGGGGUCCCGGCCCCCUCCGCGGCAGGCAGAUGGGGGCGGCGCGGCGGGGCCCGCGGCUCGUAGGGGCGGCGCCCGGCGGGCCGCGCUCCGCGCCGGGCUCAGAGCCGUCCCCACCCCCACCCCCACCGCGGUGCACUGCGGCGGUGCGAGCGGGGGCGGCCAUGAACUCCGCCGCCGAGACUCGGCGAGCGCGCGCGCGGGGCCGCCGCCGCCGCCGCCCGGCCGCUACCGGAGCCCGCUCGCCGGCCUGCGCGGUCUCUAGGGCGCCCGGUCCCUUCGCCCGGCCCGGCCCCGGCCCACGCCCGGCGCCGCUCGCAUCGCGCCGCCAGCGGCCGCCCGCACAUCCUGGAACUGGCUGGUGCCCCAGAGCUCGGCGAGAACGCGCUUCUUCCGGGCCGCCCCGCCGCGCCGGCGGCCGGCCGCCCCCGCGCCCCCGCGGCCGCCUCGCGGAUGGCCCGGGCCCCUUCCGCACCCCCGGCCCGCGCUUACCUGCAGCCUGGCACAGCCACAGACACUCGCCGUGGGCUCCCCGCGCUCACUGCACGCAGGCCGGGGACGGGUUGGACGCGGGGCGCGGGGGCACGCUUCCCGGCCACUCUCCACAUGUACUUAUUCUGUGGAUACCGCUGAAUUUCUGACCCUGUCUUCAGCCUGUGUAGCAGACACUGGCCCGACCAUAAUUUCACAGAAGCCCAAAGAUGCCUAAGAAGUUAGCACUGAGGACCCAUCCAAUUUGGCGAUGAAGGUAGUUUUCCCAGCACGCUAGAAUUACGUGGAUCCUGCAUGGGGUUGCCAGAUAAAAUACAGGACAGCCCUGCGAAAUCUGAAUUUCAGAUAGCAAGGCAGACAUUUGUACGUAAGUGUGCAUAAUUAUACCAAAAAUUGUAUGUCGUUCAUCUGAAAUGCAAACUGAACUGAGCAUUUCUGUAUUUUCAUUUGCUAAACUUGGUUAACCCUAAUCCUGAGUUAGUGAUGAUGUCUAACACAAUAAAAUG